rnacentral:rRNA from 2 species
GAAAUACCACCCUUUAAUGUUUGAUGUUCUAACGUGGACCCGUGAUCCGGGUUGCGGACAGUGUCUGGUGGGUAGUUUGACUGGGGCGGUCUCCUCCUAAAGAGUAACGGAGGAGCACGAAGGUUGGCUAAUCCUGGUCGGACAUCAGGAGGUUAGUGCAAUGGCAUAAGCCAGCUUGACUGCGAGCGUGACGGCGCGAGCAGGUGCGAAAGCAGGUCAUAGUGAUCCGGUGGUUCUGAAUGGAAGGGCCAUCGCUCAACGGAUAAAAGGUACUCCGGGGAUAACAGGCUGAUACCGCCCAAGAGUUCAUAUCGACGGCGGUGUUUGGCACCUCGAUGUCGGCUCAUCACAUCCUGGGGCUGAAGUAGGUCCCAAGGGUAUGGCUGUUCGCCAUUUAAAGUGGUACGCGAGCUGGGUUUAGAACGUCGUGAGACAGUUCGGUCCCUAUCUGCCGUGGGCGCUGGAGAACUGAGGGGGGCUGCUCCUAGUACGAGAGGACCGGAGUGGACGCAUCACUGGUGUUCGGGUUGUCAUGCCAAUGGCACUGCCCGGUAGCUAAAUGCGGAAGAGAUAAGUGCUGAAAGCAUCUAAGCACGAAACUUGCCCCGAGAUGAGUUCUCCCUGAGACUUAGAGUCUCCUGAAGGAACGUUGAAGACGACGACGUUGAUAGGCCGGGUGUGUAAGCGCAGCGAUGCGUUGAGCUAACCGGUACUAAUGAACCGUGAGGCUUAACCUU